rnacentral:misc_RNA from 1 species
GGCAUUCCGAAGGGUAUGCCUGUUUGAGUGUCUUUAACACUCCUCAUUUGGGUUCUGAGCCGUAUUGCCAGGUUAAACCUCUGGCUUGCUUUAAAUGUAUUUGCCCCCCGUCUCACGUAAUAAUAUUCGCAGAGAUUAGAGGGGGGGCCCCUCCUCACUUUCCAGACCUCAAAUCAGGUAGGACUACCCGCUGAACUUAA